rnacentral:rRNA from 1 species
GAAUAUUGGACAAUGGGCGACAGCCUGAUCCAGCCAUGCCGCGUGUGUGAAGAAGGUCUUCGGAUUGUAAAGCACUUUAAGUGGGGAGGAAGGGCAGUAGGCGAAUACCUUGCUGUUUUGCCGUUACCGACAGCAUAAGCACCGGCGAACUCGGUGCCAGCAGCCGCGGUAGUCCCGAGGGUGCAAGCGUUAAUCGGAAUUACUGGGCGUAAAGCGCGCGUAGGUGGUUCGUUAAGUUGGAUGUGAAAUCCCCGGGCUCAACCUGGGAACUGCAUCCAAAACUGGCGAGCUAGAGUAGGGCAGAGGGUGGUGGAAUUUCCUGUGUAGCGGUGAAAUGCGUAGAUAUAGGAAGGAACACCAGUGGCGAAGGCGACCACCUGGGCUCAUACUGACACUGAGGUGCGAAAGCGUGGGGAGCAAACAG